GAUGAACGCUGGCGGCGUGCCUAAUACAUGCAAGUCGAGCGAACAGACGAGGAGCUUGCUCCUCUGACGUUAGCGGCGGACGGGUGAGUAACACGUGGAUAACCUACCUAUAAGACUGGGAUAACUUCGGGAAACCGGAGCUAAUACCGGAUAACAUGUUGAACCGCAUGGUUCAACAGUGAAAGACGGUCUUGCUGUCACUUAUAGAUGGAUCCGCGCCGCAUUAGCUAGUUGGUAAGGUAACGGCUUACCAAGGCAACGAUGCGUAGCCGACCUGAGAGGGGGAUCGGCCAAACUGGACUUGGGACACGGUCCAGAUCCCUACGGGAGGCAGCAGUAGGAAAUCUCCCGAAAUGGGCGAAAGCCUAACGGAGAACCGCGGGGGGAGUGAAGAAGGCCUCCGAAUCGUAAACCCUUGUUAUUAGGAAAGAACAAAUGUGUAGUAACUAUGCACGUCUUGACGGUACCUAAUCAGAAAGCCACGGCUAACUACGUG
rnacentral:rRNA from 1 species